UUCCUUGGUCUUGGUAUUUUGACAUGAAAACAAUUGUGUAAUGAUAUGUCUGAAAGAACAUGGAGAAGGGAACUCCAGCUUCAAGCGGCUACAGUAGAUCCAAAGCCAGUUUGUUGAUGGGAAAGGUUUGGAGGCCAUUCUCAGUGGACUUGGGUAGGUAUGGGAUCCAAUAAUGACGUGAACAAAACUUAAGCCAGCCCUCGGAAAAGCUUAAUGGCUGAGUCUUGAAGGAUAUUGCAGUUUAAUGUCGAUUCCAUUUUUCGAGGUGUAGCCCAUGAUUUUUUUUUCUUUGUUCAUUGCAUAGGUUCAAGAUGGACAUUCCAAAUGUGUAAAGCUCAGUUGUACGGCCUAUCUAAAUUUGCCUAUGUUACUACUUGGAGUUGUCAACAAGGAGAUACGCUCUAUUCAAGUUAAGCGAACUCAACCCGAGGUCUAAACCAAGCUCAUUUCUGAUGGAGCAUUUGACGCAACAUCGAUCCUAGCGGAGACGGAUGCUGAUGCAAGGACUGCUGGAUGUUUGUUUGUCGAAUGCAAGUUCAUACAAGAUGGUAGCUGUUGGACCAACGAACAUCUGGCCGUCAAGGAAGGAAUCUCCACUGCAAUCCAACUAGGUGUACCUGAGCUUAUUAUUGAGAUGAUGAUGAGUGGAUUGUAAUGCUUGUUUAAGGAGGAACCUCCUCUUGGUUCCUCCUAAACUGUGUUCGGAAAAUUUUUGCAUCCCUUCUUAUUUUUGUUAAUCAAAAGAUGGUUUAUAUUUCUAAAGAGUGCAAUCAAUGUGUCCUGGACUCAGAAGUUUUGUCUUCCCUUUGGAUUUGUCGUGUAUUAUCUAUCAUCUUUGAUGCUAAUGGGAAACUUUGUACUCGUUUUGUUGAGGUUU